rnacentral:tRNA from 1 species
AGAAGCUUAGGAUAACACUAAAACCAGGGGCCUUCAAAGCCCCAAAUAGAGAUGAAAACACUCUAGCUUCUG